GACAUAGGUGGCGAACGUUAUCCGGAAUUACUGGGCGUAAAGCGUGCGCAGGCGGUGAUGUAAGACAGGUGUGAAAUCCCCGGGCUUAACCUGGGAACUGCAUUUGUGACUGCAUCGCUGGAGUGCGGCAGAGGGGGAUGGAAUUCCGCGUGUAGCAGUGAAAUGCGUAGAUAUGCGGAGGAACACCGAUGGCGAAGGCAAUCCCCUGGGCCUGCACUGACGCUCAUGCACGAAAGCGUGGGGAGCAAACAGG
rnacentral:rRNA from 1 species